rnacentral:rRNA from 1 species
CGUUUAGGGGUAAACCUGAGAAACCCGAAAGGUCGAAGGGAGAAAUUCAUUCGCGUUUCGCGACAGGAGGCGGGCGGUCGAGCGACGGGUAGUACAGUAUACGCUAUCUCGCCUCUUUCGCCCGUUCGAGCCGGUCGCGAACGCGUGCACUUUUUUCCUGGUAGGACGUCGCGAUCCGUCGAGCGUCGGUCUACGGCUCGCGGUGGAGCCCGUCCGUCGAUUUCGGUCGUACGGACGGACCCGCGUUGUCCCGUCCGACUCGCUCGACGGUAUACGAAAGGUUAGGGGCCGCUCUCGGAGCGUCCGACCGGCGACAAGUACUUAUCGGAGUAUCGACGACCGGACCUAGUGCCGAUCUCGAUCUACGGUACCUGUUGGUCGCCGAGUUCUUGGACAGACCUCUUUACACACCGAUCUGCGACGCUAUAGCUUUGGGUACUUUCAGGACCCGUCUUGAAACACGGACCAAGGAGUCUAGCAUGUGCGCGAGUCAUUGGGAAUCGCUAAACCUAAAGGCGUAAUGAAAGUAAAAAUCUUCCGAGCGAAGAUCUAGGGAGGACGGGCGGUUCGCCCUUAAAAGCGGCCGUUCUGCACUCCCGGGGCGUCUCGUUCUCAUCGCGAGAAGAGGCGCACCAAGAGCGUACACGCUGGGACCCGAAAGAUGGUGAACUAU